ACAUGCAUCUAUUUUUUGGUAGCUUAUCUCAUUAGAACUUUAUAGUUAAGCAUGUUUGACUUGGGGUAAUAUAGGGAUGGGUGACCUUCUGGGAAGUUUCAAGAAAUUGUGUA
rfam:Cajanus cajan Scaffold125727_1, whole genome shotgun sequence.